AAAGUGAAGUCAAUGCGCCAUUUUCAAAUUUCUGAAAAAGUUAUAGUAUAUUAGAAAAGGAUAGCCCAAAAUAAACAUGCAUCCAGGUUACAACAGUAUUUGAACCCACUAUCUCUACUCUUCAGUGCAUUUUGUUGUUUCCCAUCUAAAACAGCUGUGCUGUUUUUUUAUUUUAUUUCAUUUAUUCAGAUGCAUGUGCAGGCCUGCGUAUUUAAGACAAAGCCUAUGGGACCUGUCUAAUUGAAGAAAGGAUAGCAUGAAGACACAUCUAGGGUUUCUACAGGUUUCGAACCCGCUACCUACACACUUCAGAGCGUUUGAGGGCUUUCCGGGUAUUGACAUCUGAUCCUUUUCUUACCCCUAGUCCUUUUGUCUGUAUCGGAAAAAAAAUUGAAAUAAAUAAAUAAGUUUUCAGAGCAUGCCAGCGCACAGCGACAAAAGAAAGUUUUGUUAAUCUUUUAACUUGGUAACUGUUAGUCCUGUUUUGACACACAAGCAGCCAUAUGUAUGUGUAACAAUAAAAAUUUUUAAAAAGAAUCAUAUUUUUGAUCAUUUUUAAUUUUUAAAUUCGCAAUUUAAGUUAAAAUCAUCGAUUGUUAAACUACUAUGGUGCCUGAAAGGAGAAAGAUCUUUGUCUGAUGGACUUUAGAACAUGCAUUCUUUUCGAUUUAAUCAUCAGUUUUUCUUCGAUUUUGGAGGUUGGAAACAUCAUAACAAGCAAGAAUCGUGAACGCCAUGCAAACGAGUUACAUGCCAACAAACCAUUCAUUCGAAAUUCCUUCUCGAACAUUAUCAGUCGUGCCGUCAUCACAUCGUUGCGAAGUGUGUCUUCAAGUACGUUUGUUUGCGACAAUAUAUCCCAGUAUGAUUCUCACUUGAUAUCAAGUACCUGAUAAACAUGCAGAUUUUUAAACAAUAGUUUCGUGUAUAUUAUUUGGAUAUUAUAACACAAUACCCAAAGCAUGGCAGUUAUUUAAUUUUACUUAAAAGAACCCAUUGUAUGGCCGUCUCGUCUGCAUUGUGCUUGCGACCGUUAGGAUUGUUGGUUGUAAUCAUGCCCCGGAUGCUGAUUUACAAUCCAGUGGCUUUCAACCACUCGUACAAUUUUUUUUUUGUGGGGAGAUUUUUGCAGUUGUCGCAAUUAUAAUGAAAGCUUUUAUUUCUUUUAAAAUUUGUUACCCCAACUAAAAAGUCAAGAAUCAAGUUUUUUUUAACUUUAUUUUCAAAAAAAAAUGCUAAACCGGAUAGUGGGUUGUUAAAUGCCGCUGAAUUGGAAAAUCGCGCCUCGCACCUUACAUAUAAAAAUUUUGAAAAAUAGUUCUGAAUGACCCUGUGUAUUACUUGUAUAUUACGCUAUUUAUUGUAUGUUAUUUGUAUAUUAUUUGAGUAUUUUUAACACAAUACCCAUAACAUGUCAAUUGUUUCGUUUUACGAAAAAGAACACAUAAAUAUGUUCGUUCAGUACAUUAAUUUAACUAUAUUGUAUUUAUUAUGAUAGUAAAUUGUAAUUUUUCACAGUAUUUUGUUUAAACUAAUAUUGUAACGUGCAAAAGUAAUGAAGUUUCUAUUAGAUUUGUCAGAAGUAUUUUCGUUUCUUCUAGUUUUUUUUUUUUUCUUCGAGUGCCUAACAAUAAAUUUUGUAACAUCUUUGGCAGCUUAAGUAGCAGAAAAAUAUAAAACUUUUUAUCUUUAUAACCAUCAUAUUAUGGAUCAUUGGCUUAAGCAUCAUCAUCAUUUCAUUUGUUGAAACAUGUAAAUAAUAAUGUAUCAUCAUUACAUCUUUUCAUUUAAAUUUAUCUGUCAUCUGAUGAUGUUGUCAUAAUUGAGAAAUACAUACCUGGAAAAAAAAAUUAUUUAGUUACUAUUAUUCUAUGCAAAAGAAACAAGAUCAGGAAUUAAAUGUUUUCCCUAAAAAUUAAUCCGUAAUUAUACGCUGUUAGGAUUUUCAUUCUAAAAUUAUUGUAAAAUUACCGACAGCAGUCAGUCCAUCCAAUUAAUCAUAAGUUUACGAUAAGAAACAUUUUUUACCUUUAUGGUUUUGAAACCGCUUACAAUUAAUUAGUACGGUUAAAAAACCAUGAAUACAAAACUACACGUUUUUUUUAACCAUUUACAACUAGCAUGGUUCCAAAACUGUAGAAAGGAUAUUUAACUGGACAAAGGAGUUAGACUUUUCGUUGGGUAAUGGACAUUGGAGAAUGCAGGUCAGUGGAAACUCAUGUGUUGAAGAUAAUGGAGGAAAUAUUGUAGUGUCAACACUGGGAUUCGAACCCCGGUUCUGUCUGUCAUCAGUCUAGCAGAUUUGCCAGCAGGGCUAUAAUAUGCACGCAAAUGCAAGGAUCUAAGUGGCUUCAUCAGGUGAGCUUAGUUGGUGCCAUAAAAUUCUGGUUGUUUAACCGUAUUAGACGAAAGUAGUUAAUGAGCGAUUUUUCUCACAGUUAACAGUUUGAUUACCAUCUUAUUUAUGGUUAUUUGACUGCUUUGUUCGAAUACAGUAAAAUAACAAUUAAAUAAAUUGUUAUUUAACUAUUUUGUAAGAGAAAUUUCUAACAGUGUAGUUACCAUUCAAAUUUGGCUCGCGGAAAUUACCAACGCAUUUUUGGAAAAUUUAUUUGAUUUAUUUAAGCUGAUUGUAAACCUUUUUAACCACUUUAAGCCUUGAAAAGCUUUUUGUAAUUCUAUUUUAUCCACAACCCUCAGCCUCAACCGUUUUUUAUCUUUUGAUUUACCUAUCAUAUUUACGAAACACAAUUUUUUUGUAAGAUUUGGAUCAUGAAUAUUUAUUAUUAAUAUUUAAAAGGGAAAAAAAAGCUAAAUUCAAAUUACAUUAUGCUCCAGAUCAAUCUGAUUAUUGUGAUUUUUGGUCAAUGCUCCAAUAGGUUAGAGUUUCCGAAUUUGAUGACCAAAAACUGAUUAUUUCAGAUUUCAAAUUGGUUUACAAGCUUAUUUUUGAAGGCUCUAUGAAAUAACCUUAAUUUUUUUUCUAUUUUUAGCUAGCGCCCCAUAUUUUAAUCAUGAAAAUGGUGCAAAAGACCAGUAUAAGGAAAAGCCAUAGAUUUUUUUUUAAAAAUAAAUCGCGUUUGUAAUGUAAUUUUUAGCGUUUGAAAAGUUACUCCUCUACUACAUUGUUUGCACUUAUAAAUAAUACAAAAAUUGUGUAUAAAUCAUCGAUAUCGCAUCAUUGUGGGAAAUCUCACCAAAUUGUCAUCUUUUCAAAAAAGUUUUAAAACUGACAAGUGCUUUAAAUAUUUAAAAAAUUGUUUAAGUCCAGACAGUUUUUUUCUCCAAAAUAAUAUAUUUAGUUUAAAAUUAAAGCUUUGCAUUAAGUUUAAGGCACUUAACCUGUUGUUGCAUUUUCAAUUUUCCUUGAAGAAUGCUUCGAAAAUAAUUCUAAUAUAAUAUACUUAUAUAUAUAUUACGAAAACAAUUAUAAAAAAGAAGAUUGUGUAAUAUCAGGUAGACUAGGUUGAAUUUCAUUACACCUUUUGCAUAGAAUAAUAUAGCAACUAGAGAAUUACUGAUAUAUUUUAAGACAAAUCCUAUAUUUUCUCAGGAUUCCUCGGUUGUGUUACAUAUUUAUUACAUUUAUUUUAUAAUUUUUCUGUGUCAAAGAAGCCUCGGCCAUAGAACUAUACAUGCAAAUCAUCUCUACUAAACAAAGUGGCGCCAAGUGAAAUUGUACUUUCUAAUAGACAUCGAAAAGAUACCGUUAUUGGACGGGCAAUUUCAAGUACUUUUUGUACUGGCCCAUGGCGCAUCAAAGUAUUUAUACGUUAACUGGCAUGCUCUCUCUCCCGCUAAAGCUACAUGGAGCAAACACUAUUUGAAGUCAUACAUAGAACUGGACUACAAAUACCCAUGGCAUGAUAUGGCAUAUAUGUAUGUUUAACAAGGUUCAAGACUUGUUUAAUAAGUGCUGUUUUGUUCAAUUUUCUGAAAGCAUGUAAUUAAAGAGAAUUUUAUUGUC